rnacentral:rRNA from 1 species
UACGUAGGGCGCAAGCGUUGUCCGGAAUUAUUGGGCGUAAAGAGCUCGUAGGCGGCUUGUCACGUCGGGUGUGAAAGCCCGGGGCUUAACCCCGGGUCUGCAUUCGAUACGGGCAGGCUAGAGUGUGGUAGGGGGAGAUCGGAAUUCCUGGUGUAGCGGUGAAAUGCGCAGAUAUCAGGAGGAACACCGGUGGCGAAGGCGGAUCUCUGGGCCAUUACUGACGCUGAGGAGCGAAAGCGUGGGGAGCGAACAGG